CUGGUUGCCAAAAAAUGGUGUGGUUGCUUCUGGAGGUCGCCGCCGGAGCUGCUGCUCGAUUCUGCCAUUCCUUUUCAUCACAGUUUGUUGCUGAGCCACUGGAGAUUCUGGCCACUGACGGAGCCGUUGCCAGGUUGAUAUGGAGCUGAGGCUACUUCGUUUUGUUAAUUCAGAGUUAGAAUCCGAUUUGCUUAUGCCUCUUGUAGCUAUU